GACGAACGCUGGCGGCGUGCUUAACACAUGCAAGUCGAACGGUAAGGCUCCAGCUUGCUGGGGUACACGAGUGGCGAACGGGUGAGUAACACGUGGGUGACCUGCCCUGCACUUCGGGAUAAGCCUGGGAAACUGGGUCUAAUACCGGAUAGGACCAUGGUGUGGAUACUGUGGUGGAAAGUUUUUGCGGUGUGGGAUGGGCCCGCGGCCUAUCAGCUUGUUGGUGGGGUAAUGGCCUACCAAGGCGGCGACGGGUAGCCGGCCUGAGAGGGUGGACGGCCACAUUGGGACUGAGACACGGCCCAGACUCCUACGGGAGGCAGCAGUGGGGAAUAUUGCACAAUGGGCGGAAGCCUGAUGCAGCGACGCCGCGUGGGGGAUGACGGCCUUCGGGUUGUAAACUCCUUUCACCAUCGACGAAGGGUUUCUGACGGUAGAUGGAGAAGAAGCACCGGCUAACUACGUG
rnacentral:rRNA from 1 species